GAUGAAGAACGCAGCGAAAUGCGAUAAGUAAUGUGAAUUGCAGAAUUCAGUGAAUCAUCGAGUUUUUGAACGCAUAUUGCGCCCUCUGGUAUUCCGGGGGGCAUGCCUGUUCGAGCGUCAUUAAAUAACCCUCAAGCAUAGCUUGGUGUUGGGCUUUUUUACGUCCUUGACUGGGAUGGGCCUAAAAAUUAGUGGCGAUGACUUUUUUACUUUCAAGCGUAGUAAAUCUCGUCUUGCUAAAGAGGAAAAAGAUUUUUUUUCUGCCAAAAAUUUUAACAUUUAAAGUUGACCUCGGAUCAGGUAGGAUUACCCGCUGAACUUAAGCAUAUCAAUAAGCGGAGGA
rnacentral:misc_RNA from 1 species